UUUUUACAACAAAUAGCGGAAUCUGUACUUUGUGACAAUAUCAUUUUAUUUGUAAAAUGAAGGAUACAGCUGCAGGUUGUAGCCCUAUACCAUAAGCUCAAGUGUUCAAUUUAGUAUAAAUCUUUAUUCUUUUGUGGGGGCGGGGGGAAUUUGUUGGUGUCCCAAAUAAUUCACUAGUGGUAAAAACCCGUGAAAUUGAAAUUGAUUCAUGAAUUAAAUAAUUAGCUCAUCAUUCCACUUUACCUAUGAAUAAUUCAUCUUUUGCAUUUCCAGUAUGGGCAACCUCUUUUCAUUUGGACAGUCAAGUCAAGAAAAGGAUGAAACAGCACCAUUUUGCCAAACAGAUUCAGAGACAGACUCUGAGGCAGUAAUUAUGUCAGAUGUGAGUGUUUUCCAGACUACUUCCAGUUCAUUACAAGAUGACAUCAUAUGUGUUAGCGACAGUGAUUCAGACUCAAUUUUUAGUCAUUUUAACACACAAACAAAUCAUAAAAUUAAGAAAACAUCUAUAAAAACAAGUUCAUCAAAAAAAGUUUCAUCACCUAACAAAGAGCAGCUUAUUAUUAAUGAAACAGCCAGAUCAUUGCUUUCACAAAAAUUUAAAAAAAAAUGCAAAUCCAAAAACAAUACACCCGUUACCAAGCCUAAUGCAUCACGAGAAACAAUUUCACCAAAGCAAGAGGAUAGUUCUAUUAUCAAAAAAGAUCCAUCAGCCAGUCAUUGGCCAAUAUUUUCGGAAUAUGUUCAAAACAAUUCUCAAUCAAAACUGAAUAAAAGAAAAGGUUCAAGAUUAAAGAAACAGGCUAAUGUUAAAUCUAAUCUGAAAGUUACUAAAAGUUAUAGACAGAGACUUGCGCAAUCCUGGAAUGGACGGCGUAAAAAUUGCAGUCAACCUGCCAUUAGCGAUCUUUCAACAAGUGCUGAUGGCUCGUCAAGUCUGGAAAUUGAUCAAGUAGAAUCGUGGUCUGAAUCAGAUUCAGAUUUUGAAACGAGUCCUAUUCAACAAAAGACAAGAGUUUUGCAGAAAAAAAGUACAUGUAGUACAUCAACUGUAAAUGCGAGUCAAAUUUUAUCACCAAUUUUAUCUAAAAAACGCAUAAAAAAUAGAACUGAUGAUUCUCUAUUAAAAACAAAAAUCAUUUCUGAUUGCAUUAAUGUCCAUAAUGAGCGAAAAAUAAAUUCUAGCCCUGCAUUAAUGUUCACUGAAAGCGACGAAGAAAAAAUCACUGAACUACAAAUCCCCCAAAAGAAUUCAGGCAAGAGGAGAGAUUCAUCAUCUCCUACUUUAAUACCAGAAUCAGAUGAUGAAGCAAGUCAACCAUUUCCUGAACUAUUACCUGCAACAGUGCAUAAACAUCUGCCAACCUUAGAUUCUGAUGAAGAAACUCAACAACCUGAUUAUACUGAUGAUGAGAUUAACCACAUAUUCGAAAGUCAAGUAGUGGGGAAGAGCAGCCAAGAAAGUACAGUAGUAAGGAAUGUGCCUCUUCAAGACAGUGCUGAUGAAUCUACACAGGAACCUGAUUCAAUGUCAGAAAUGAGUCCCAAUGUUGCUAGAAAAUUAUCUGACAGCAUACAGUCAGAUAGUUCUGAUGAAUUACCAGAUUGUGAUUUUCUGACUCAACCAUUUGAAGUCAGAUCACCAGAUGUUUCAGCAGCCAAGGACAAAAUGGACAAAACACCCACAGAUGCUAACAUCUCUUAUCCAGUUCCAGUUAGUUCUGGUGUCCUACCACAUUCAACUGAUUAUGUUAAAUUUAACUCCAAAGGAAAAUCCAAUCUUUAUUUUCCUUCUCAUUCGAAGAAUAACCAGGCCGAAGUAUUGUCACCUCAGGUGAAACCUUCAAAUAAUAAUUUAUCAAGAUUUAUUUCAGACCUUAAAGGAAAUGACAAUACUAAGAAAUCCACACAAACAAUUUCCAAGACACAACCAUUUUCUUUAAGUCCGCUAAAAAGUCAGAAUAUAUCAGUUUCUAGUCCUACACCAAGCAUAUUUGAAAAAAUGGCAGCAUCUAGUCAAGCCCUAAUGAAGGACAGUCAGUAUCAUAGUGAUGUAGAAAUGGAUGAAUGCAUCAUUGUUCCUGUUUUGAAAUUAGGGAAUAGCAGCUCUGUUAAUGAUAAUUCUGCUCCUUUCAGUGAUAACAAGGAUACUGAUGAUAGUGGUGAUGACAAAAAAACUGGGGAUGGUAACCCUUGUUUGGGAAUAUUUGAGUUCAAGCAUCCUGAAGCUUUUAAGGACAAAUCAGAUAAAAGUAUAAAAAAUUCUGUAAAUUUUGGAGCGGUAGAAAUAAAGGAAGAAGUUGAUAAUGGUUGGAGUUAUACACAGGCUGAUGAUGAUGAUGAUGAUGUUGUGGAAAUCUUUGAUUUGGAUGAUGAAGAUGCUUUGUUUUGUUUGUCUCAAGUACCAGUCAAUAUCAAAUCUGAACCGGUGUCAGAAGAAGAGGAGGAAGUAGUAGGUGAUGAUGAAUUUGGCGCAAUGGCCAAAUUGUAUGACAACGAAGAAGAGGAAAUUGAACAACCUAAGCUAAAACAGGCUAAAUUCGAUUCCUCAUUAAAACAGACAAUAGUGGAAGCAGCAGAUAAAGAUGUUGAUUUAUUUGAUUCUUAUUUUCAAGAUGAUUUUACCGAUGAUGAAGAGAAGGCGAUAGAGGAAGGUAAAGAUGCUGAUGAAAAUGAGUCUGAUGCAUUUUCCGAUGAAGAUAUUUUUAAUCAGUCAACUACUAACUUGUGCGACAAAAUUAAAUUUGAUAAAUCUGAAAAUGAAAUAGAAAAUAACCAGACAAAACAUCUAGCUACUGGUGCUAAUACUGGUUUCCAGGAGAACAAUAUAUUACCCAUGUCCAAACAAUCGUCAGAAAUAAACUUAAAUCUGAUACCAGAUAUAAAGAGCAUAGAAAAAGAUGGAAUUAAAUUGAGUGAGGAAAUGGAAGAUAUAUCGAGUAGAGAGAUAGGUAAUGAUUUGACUUUUAUUAAUGCUUUUUUCGAUGAUUGUGGUGAUGCUUUGCCAAGAAAGAUAGAUGCAAUGAAAUUGAAGUGUGAUGAUGUUGAUAAACCUGUAAUGGGACCACCCACCAUUGUAACUCCUGACCAGGACGUCACAUCUGCUUCUAUUACAACAAAUAUUACUCCUAUUCUGAAUAAACCUGAAACAACUAGUGAUGAUGAAAUCUAUAAUGAUUUAACCCAAAUUGACAAGGACGUCACAUCUGUUUCUAUUACAACAAAUGUUACUCCUAUUCUGAAUAAACCUGAAACAACUAGUGAUGAUGAAAUCUAUAAUGAUUUAACCCAAAUUGACAGUUUUCAUAGUCCUGGACAUGUUACAUUAUACAAAUCUGAUGAAGAAGACAGAGGUACUUCCACUAGUUCUAAAACUAAUUUCAAGAGAAGAAAGAAACUCCUUUCAGAAAGCAGUAUCGAGAGGGCUGUUGAUGAUAAAGGAAAUUGCUGUUUAGAAAUAUCAGAGGAUGAGAUAUAUUAUGCACCUACACAGCUUAUUACUGAUAUUACUGAGCCUUCUACUUCUAGUGAUGAUCUUGCUGUGAUUGAAGAUUUGCUUGCUAAAGGGAAGACAUUAAAUAAGAGUAAAUCAGUUACUAGUAACAAACCUAAACAGAUCAUUCAAAUUAAUCCUCAACGACAAGAAAGUAAGAAAGAAAUAAGAGAUAAAUAUAAAAGGGCCAAAGAAAUGAAUAUUAGCAAAUCUGGAAAACUAUCUUCGCAUUGCAAAUCAACAUCAUCUAGCAUACCAGCAUUAUGCAGUAAACCCACUGUCAAACCGUCUCCAUCUAACAAACCAUCUUCAUCUUCACACAGUAAUAAAUCUUCAUCUAGCAAACCGUGUUCAUCAAACAAACCAUCUUCAUCCAGUAAACCAAUGUUAUCCAGCAAACCUUCAACUGGUAAUUCAACUUCAUCUAACAAACCAUCUCAUUACAGUUAUUCAACCUCAUCUACUAAACCCUCUCCAAACAGUAAACUACCCAUAUCUGCUCAAAAGGUAUCAAAUGAACGAUUAGAUUCAACAGUGGAAAAUUCCACAAAAUCCAAAAAUUUUUCUACCCAAAAAUCAGUUUCCAGAUUUUUGAGCAAAUCAAAGCCCCAUUCAACAGUUCCCAUUUCCAAGAAAAAUUCCACUUCUUUCAAAGCAAACCAAAGUAGUAGUUGGUUGAAUAAAAAUCAUCAAGUUCCUGGGAUUUCCACAAAAAAGAAAAAAUCAGCAACGAAGAGACUGAAGUCAGUUGAUGAACCUUUUAGUCUGACACAAAAGAUUACUAUGGCUAGAAAGCAGCUGAAACACAGGAAAAAUCAAGCUAAAGCUACAGAGGUUGCUAUUGCUAAAUAUAAUAAUACUAGAGAUGAAAUGGAAAACUUAACAGGUAGUGAUGUCCAGCUACCAGAUGUUAAUGAUAUCUUAAAUAAACAGUUACCUAUUCUUUCGUGUGAUGUCAAUGAAAUGCGCAGAGGUAUAGAAUUGGAGAACGCUGAAAAUGUUCCAAAAGAACCAUCUGCUGCAAGAGAAGGUGUGACAAAUAAUGAAGCACGUACCAUAAAAGCAAGGACUUUGUCAGACAAACCAGAUACAGUAAUUGAUCCAUAUGCAGAAGCUUCUACAUCUAUGUGUGCUUUGACUGACCAUAAUAAGUUUGUUGAAAAGAAUGAGACUCUUGUCAGACAUAGUGUAAAUAAAGUCAAUAAGAAUAAAAGACAGAAAACUUUUGACAGUGAUAAUGAAAUAGGACCCACAAAAAAUGCAGAAAUAAUAGUGCCAGCCAAAAAGAAGAAAGAAUGCAUUGAAGUAAUAGGUAUUAAGAAAGGAAAGGAAAAGGUGAACACAGCUACUAGCACUGCUAAAGACAGUGUUUUAUUAGAUGAACUAAUUGAUAAAAUGGGUCCAAUCAAUCAACCUACACAUCUCCCAUUUCAAAGAAAAGUUACUCAGUUGAAACAAAGUUCAAGUACAGCAAUCAGUUUGGCAGCUUCCGUUCACAAGCCCUUGGAAUCAUCAUCUAGUGUUCCUCUACAUUCAUACAAAUUAGAUAAUGCUAAUUCGGUGUCAAAAGUUCCAAAUACAUGUAAUCAGUCAAAGGUGGACCCUAGAAAGCAAAAACAUGCACUGCAUUCAGCACCAGCAGCUUCAUCAGGAUUACCAGCAACUGGCAUUUCAGUAAAUUUAAUGUUGAAAAAUAAUCAACAGCCACGUCAGCCUCUAUCUACAUACAAUGCUGUCUCAAGCCACUCUGUUUCAAAAACUGUUAUGUCAAAGCCAGCAAUACAGGAGAAAGCACAAGUUAAUAAGAUAUUUAAGCUAGAUGAUUAUUAUAGAAUUAUUCUCAGGUGGAAUCCUGUUUGGUUAGAUGAGCAAGAUAAUGCCAAGAAUAAUGGACAACCGCCACCAUUACUAGGAAAAGCAAAUGUAUUUCAAUUAUUAGAAUCUUAUACAAAUAUACAAGAGUACCAGGAAAUCAUGCUUAAUCUAUUAGCUUUAGAGACAUGGGAGAUGAUAACUCGUGAUUGGAAGGAAAAACAUCACAAACAGAAAUCUGAUGAUUUCCAGAUAGGACUUGAAAGUAUACAAACAGAAGAGGAGUUUAUCCGAUUUGUAUGGCUUGGCAUUUUAUCUCCAGAAGUAUUUGACCGUGGUAAUUAUCCUAGAGAGAUGGACUUGGUGAGAAUUGAUAUGUUUGGAGUGUAUUUACAUGAAUGUAAAAAAGGGAAUAAGCAAACACCACAAAGUAAAUGUUAUCCACAGAUGGCUUUUGUAGAAAAAGUGAUGGUGCACAAAAAACAAGAGGCUGGUGCUAUAAUAAAAAGAGUGAUGGCAUUAGAAAAACAUCCAUUGAUCAAAGGUCGGACAUUGAUAACCAUGAAAAUCAUAACUAAAGUCAAAUAUAGAAAGUUUUCCCCAGAUAGUUCGAAACUCAUGAAAUUAGAGGUCUUAACAAGUCUGGUAACAAAUCAACGUCAGAUAUCAGCACUAGCUUAUUUUCCCCGAAAUCCACUUCAUAAAGAUAUACUAAAACCUGGUAAUAAACAAAUCUACUCACAUCAACGUACCAAUCAUUUACUGACUGGUUUUGAUGUAUCACAGAGUCAAGCUAUUAGUUCUAUAUCACAGGCAGUUAAACAACCAGUGAUAUGUCCUAAAAUCUGUAUUUUACAAGGUCCACCUGGUACAGGAAAAUCUCAUACAAUAGUUGGUCUCUUAAAUUCCAUAAUUAAGAGUGAUAGGACUCGUGGUUGUGUUUGUCUGGCUACACCAUCAAAUGGCGCGGCUGAUGAAUUAAUGAGAAGAUUAAUUAGAGAUAACAGAAAGACCAAAGAAAAUAAUAAAGAUAAAUUAAGAGUUGUUAGAGUAGGUAAUAGUAGUAGUGUACAUCCAGAUGUAAGAAGUCAUUGUUGGGAUGUACUAAUAAACAACAAACGAAAAUCAGUAUUAAGAGAAAAACAGAAACAGAAUAUUCCUGACAGUGUUCAACAAGAUAUGAAGAGACUAGAAGAAAGAAUAGAUAAAUUAAAAAAAGAGCUUGAAACCUUUAGGAAACAAAAAGAUAACCUUAAGGCAGGCAAAUGUCAAGUUGAUCUGAAUAAAUUGGUUAAUCAGCAAAGAAAUUUAGAAAAACAGUUUGCGAACUCUCUGAAUAAGGAUAUAACAUUAACUGGUCAAGAAGAAUUUAUGAUCAAAAGUAAUAUCUUAUUACAUGCUGAUGUGGUCUGUGGUACACUUAGUAGUUUUGGAAGUCAGAGACUUCUAGACAUUCUUAGAAAUGGCCGAUCUGCUAAUCGUAGAGAACAUUUUACAUGUUUAAUCAUUGAUGAGACAAAAUGAAACAUCAGAAAAUCACCGCUUGGAUUAAUUAUUAAGGGCAAAUAAUGACUUGAGGCAAGUCAAGCAUCUGAAUUGGAUUGUUUGAUACCAUUACAGUAUGGUGUUAAUAAGAUGGUGUUAGUCGGUGAUCCCGAACAAUUACCUGCUACUGUUUUAUCUAAGAAAGCGGGUGAAAUGAACUUUGGCCAAUCAUUAUUGGAAAGAUUAUAUAACUAUUUUAAACAUAAUGAUGAACGAGCUAUAUGUAUGUUAAAGACACAGUAUAGAAUGGACAGUACCAUAUUUUCCUUUCCUAAUAAACUCAUAUAUAAUGAUGAACUUAAUACACAUAAAAGUGUUCAACAAAAUAGUGAAAAGUUUCCAUUGAUCCCAUAUUUAGUGUUUGAUGUGAUUUGUGGAAAAGAAACAGCCAAUGCCGAAUCUAUUUGUAACACUGCUGAAGCUCAGUGUACAGUAGAACUUUGUCAAAAUAUUGUGAGAAGAGCUAAACUAUCCCAAUCUAGUAUAGGUGUUAUAUGUCCAUACCAAUCACAGAAAGCUUUAGUUCUUGCAGGACUAAAGAACAGCAAUCUGAAUAAUAUAGACGUUGGAACAGUCGAUGGUUUUCAAGGUAGAGAAAAACCUGUAAUUAUAUUAAAUUGUGUAAGAUCACAAAGUGCCUACGGAGGAAUAGGUUUUCUAGCAGAUAGACGAAGAAUGAAUGUAGCUAUUACAAGAGCUAAGAGUGCUCUGUAUAUACUUGGUAAUCUUAAUUCAUUGAAGAAAAGUGGUGAUUGGAGGCUUCUUAUUGAAGAUGCUGUUAGUAGACGUCGUGUUAUUUCUGUUAAUAAAGUGGCUGACUUCUGUUGUCAAACAGAUGAAUGUUUUAAACGACGAACCCAGACUGUGUAAAUGGCUAUUGAGUAAAACUUUUCAUUGGAUCUUAUUAUUACAAGUGGAUUGAUGUGUUUUAAACACAACAUAUGUCUUACCGUCUUUCAGUUUUUAGUUUAUUUAUUGAAGAAUCAAAACUGCCUACCAAUGUGUUGAAAUACCAGGAAAAAACUAUGAUCACAAUUUAAACACAUACUUAUUUUGUUAUGAGUGACUUACUGUUUGAAAAUGUUAACACUGGAUAAUGUUUAAAUUAACUGAAAUAUCUAAUGUAACAAAAUAGUUACUUGUUUUCAAUUCUUGUACUUAAAGGAGUUGUUUUUUUUGUUAAUUUUAAAGGCGCGCGAUUGCUCACGAGAGCCUGCCGCACUCCUGAAUGUCGACAGAGGGAAACUUUUUCUCCCUCCCCUUAAAAUUGAAAACCGCUCUCCUUAUUUGUAAAACUGGGACUUGUGUAUUUUCUUAUAAAAGAGUGUGAAAGACUGAACAUUUUUAAAGAAUAUUUGAACAAGUUUUUUGUUUACGUAAAGUUACUCACAUUCCGAUCGCUGACAUACUGUCAUUUUAAACAUUUAUUUUGUGUAUUCAGUUAGUGAAUAACAACAAAAACAACAACGUGGUUUUAAUUUUCAAUAUAUCGGAUAAAUACUAUACAAUACACACAAUGUUUGUGAUCGCACAUUGUAAUAAAAUUCUGAUGAAUGUUACUAAAAUCAGAUGGCUUCUAUGUACGAAUGGUAAAAUGUAACUGAAAACUAAUGUAGAACUCUCGCAAGACAUGAGAGAUGGUACGCAAAAAUUUUGGAAGAAAGAUUCUAUUUUGAUGGAAUUUUCUAGCAGUUAUGAUUAUAUUUUGAAUGGGGGUUAUGUUUUUUAAACAAAAUUUAUACAAGCUAUAUUUUGAAAUGUCGACAAGUAUUUUGUUGGUAACAGACUCUUAGAAAAAUUAAUUUUAUGUGUUAUUAGUUUCAUAUCUUUAUUUGUGUAACCCUGGAUAACUUAUGAACAGCUCAAUAUUUUUAGCUGAAAAUUUCUGACAAGAAUUAGCUAUUUUUUUUUUACAGAUAGCCCAUGAAGCAGGGGCUGAACCUUUAAUAAUUUUUCAUUAGACAAUGGCAAUUAUUGUUAUAGUUUGGAGGCUCAGUGCUGGGGGGUGUCCAUCAAAUGGGCACAAAACCAAACCAAACUUUUCCAUAGAAAAAUUGUGCAUAGAAUACGUUGCCGAGUGGUAAUCAGUCUGCCGAUUGUUUUUUUUUUUUCUGGAAAUAUUCGGGGUCAAACGUCAGCUGUCUAGUCAUUCGGAUACGACGAUAAACAGAGGUCCCUGUGUACACAUUGGCGUGCACGUAAGAGAUCCCUUGACAGUUGGAAUUCGAUAUAAGAGUAGGCCCUGAACAAAUGAAGAAGUUGGAUUAUACAUUGUCUUAAUUUAAAAAUUACAUAAAUAGAAGUUAAAAAUUACAUGAACAGAAGUUAGAAAUUAGACGAAAGCGCGUUAGAAUUUUGAAUCUAAUAUACCGCCAUAAAAUUUUAGUAUAGAAAAGUUGGGUCUGGUUUUGAGCCUCUGGUCUAUAAAGAAAGCGCCAUUUACAAUAUGAUGAAAAUAUAUAUAUUUUAGUAAUAUAUACUUAUAAUAUGUAAAUACAUGUAGAUAGUUUUGUAUGUUAUUAUUGUAAAUUUACUGCGUGACAAAUAAUUUGGCAAUAUAUUACAUUAUAUUUCCAUUAUUUGAUUUUAGCACUUUUUACAUGAAAAUUUCGACUACCCUAGUUCUUUGAAAAAGAAUUAGUGAUCUAAUUCAUACCGCAUUAUCCCGAAGCCAUCUGAAUAGUGUCUUGUGCAUAGCUUUCAGUAUUGUAGGAUUUACACUUAUUGUUCGGGACGCAACAAUUAUUCAUAUGACUAAUUUUUGGGGCGCAACAAUUAUUCAUAUGAUUCCGCCCUUCUUCAUUAGCCCAGUCAGAGCAGAACAGUAGGACGAUAAACCCCAUUUCAUUUCACAUGACUCCAGCGAUCUAAAGAGCGCUAGUUUGUGGCAAUCAAGUGCUAACGGUUUAAUCCAAUAAAAUAGCAAGAAAAAGUCUGUAUAAGAGUGAAAAGUAAAGCAUUUAUAAAAUGACUAAUGACUAAUAAAAUGCAUGUCUAAUUCCCUUUUUGGUAACAUGUAAAUUUAUGUUCUUUGUCGUAUUAAAAUACAGUGGUUAUAUUCUUACCUUAGUGCUUAGAGAAAUAUUUGAAUAUUCUAAUUCAAAUACUUUAUAAGUUAUUCAAACUGAUUUUUACUAUUGGUUAUUCAAAUUUCAACUAAUAGAAUUGUGUCCUGUCUGAAUGUAUUUCCUGUUUAACAACAAAAUACCUUUGAAACAAUUUAUGUCAUACCGCUUUCCAUGUUCGCUAGUCAACUUUGCUUACCGGUAUAAUUAUUAUUUUAUAUGUCUGUAUAUUCAAAUUAAAUGACUUUAUUUUUGUAUAGUUAUAAAUAAUCAGUGUAACUUAUGGUGCUUUCAACAUAUGCCUUUUUUUUUUAUUCUGUUUUUUUUUUUUUUUUUUUUUGUCCUUGAAGGAGAUCAUUGUUGAAAAACUAUCUGAAUAACAGCAUUUACAGUAUUGUUAUUGACAUUUUCUGUUUUGUUUUUUUAUAAAUUUAAAUUAACUACAAUAUGUGUAAAUGUGAUCUGUAUAUAUUAAAAGAAUGAUUUUGAUUUUUUUGUCAGGUUCAUUUUUGUAUGCAGUUUUGAUGUGGAAGUAUAUUGUGAUCUGUUGUCAAGCAUUCGUCCACAACCUCUUAAGCUUACAGGGAUUGUUCAUUGGGUCAUAUUGAAGAACCCUAUCGAAAUUUAUUGUUUUGAUCACAUAUUGCAGACAUAGGCGCAUCCCCCCUCCCCCCACACACAGACUUUUUUGGAUCCAGGGCUGUAUGUCUAUUUAGAUCCAAAUUGUGAGCACAAUGCAGGUCAGAGUUCAGUGGGAAUGUUCAGUGGGGCAUUAGGAAGAUUCCCGUCAAUUUUAGAUUGUAAAUUUGAAAUGUAUUUUGUGAAAUUAUCUUUCUGCUGAAUUUUUUGUUACAGUUUUACUUCAAGAUUUUAGAGCUAGGCACAGAUGAUUUGGCUGCUGGUGGGCCUGACAAGCCCCUGCCUUUGUUACAUUAUGUGGUUUUAUUAUUUGGUAUAUGUAACAAUACAUUGACAAUGAUAUAUAAAUUAUAUACAUUCAUGAAUUACUACAAUAAAUUAAAUUUAUUGGCCUA